CUUCAAAUGUCUCUUCUGUGAAAGAAACAUCAGCUAACCUCAUUUCAUCUGUUCUCUCUUUAGUACCUUUACCUGUUCUGAGCUGGAGUCCAGCUGAUUUCUCUCCUGGUUUAUUGUUGUCAUAAGGGGCUGAUUUCAAAGCCUAGGAUGAUGCUACCAAGGCAAACACAUCAUUGGAUCCUUCUUUCCUACUACAUGCCCUCUCCUUUUCACUGCUGAGAAGGAAUGAAUUAUGUUUUCCUUGUACAGAAGAAACAGAAGUGAUGCUCUUGCUAACCAAUUUUCUUGGUCCUCCCUCUCUGAAAAACUGAAGAAGUGCUCUUCCGCAUGGACAAGACCCUGGUUUUCCUUUGAGUCUUAGAAUCACCAUAUAGGAAAAUUCAGAGGAGACUUGUUCCCCCAGUACCCACCCCGCACUGUGCAGAAGACCCCAGAUGGAGUUGUAUCAUUCUUUCUAGCUUGGUGUCUACCACGGCCAACAGCUUGCUGUGCCAGCACUCCCGAUCCCCAGCUCAGUAUUUUCAGCUUUACCAUCAUGUGAGUGAAAAUUAAGGACUUGUUUCCCCAGGAUGCUUGCUGGACCUCCCAAGAAAGCUACAUGACUGCAUUUGCUACCAGCUCCUAUGUAUUCUAAAACUACACCUAAGCCUACAGAAUUUGAAGAAACAUAUUACCAGUAGCUAUAAUUAAUGAUCACACUUAAUACCAAAAAUCAGGCGAACAAUGUAGGCAUUGCUUUUGUGUUGCAUUAUAAUUUCUGGAUCUUCAUUUGUAUGUGCCAUUUAUGAUGCAUUGUAAUCCCCACUCCACCAUCUCUACCUUUCACAGUCUUCCAAUAUCUAUCACUCUGUCUGUAAAUAAGCUAAUUACCAUGCUUUUCUUGCACGAGCAACCCCUUCACUGUACGUAAACCAACUAUUUUCUUUUUUAAUCUUGGAUUGUCUAGGUAACACAUACCUAAUUAUAUGCUUAGAAAUUGUUCUCACUUUGCAUUUAAUGCCAAAAUACGGUUCUUGUCUAUUUUCCUGAAUAUUCUAAUUACUCUGUCCCCUUAGAAAGGGGUACUUGCAUGUCAAACGUGCUUCAGAAAGACUCAAAAAAAACAACAAAAAAAAAGUGGGUUAAUCCAUUAUUACAACCUCUACAUAAAAUAAUUUUUUAUGAAAGGAACACAAAACAGAAAGAAAGAAGGAGCAGUUUAGAGGAGGUAAAGCAUCUUUUUAUUACUUCAGUAAUUAACUACAAAGAACAUAAAGUCAACAGAAAAUGACAAAAUGUAACAAAUUGAAUAUAAUCUUCAAAGAAAUGGCAGAUUGAUUUCUGGGACAAGUUUUGAUAUUAUGUUGAGACACUAAAAGCAGAUCAUUCUCAGAGAUCUCGGAAGGAGCAGGAGUUGUUGGUUUAAAAUCCAGCUGACAAAAUGUAAAUUUAAUGGUACAUACUGAACAAGAGAUAAUAGAUCUAAAAUAAAUACUGAUUUGUUAUUGAUAACUAACUUUGCUGCAGAUUAAGAACUUGAACAAAGGAGUUAUUGAAAUAGACUCUCGCCAUCCUCAAUAAUGCCAAAUUCUUUUUUUAGUUCACUGUCUUCUUCCCAACAUGCUUCUUUCCCUCUUGUUUUUGGCAAGUCUUCUUUGGAUGGGAAGGCAGCCUUGCUGAGGAACUGAAACAAGAAAGAGUAGAACUUUACUACCUGAAAGUGAGUGUUGGAUAGCAGUUUCCUCCGCCCCACUUUAUUUCACAGCUUGUUUCUACAUUCUUCCCUACUUCAGGGCAUGAAGGAAUCUUUCUAAAUAUUCUAGUUACACUGGUAACAGGUAUUAUCCUUGUUUAUAAAUCUUGAAAAGAAAACAUUUUGCACAGGUGUCCUCCUUGUCAAGCCACACUUGCAUGUCAAAAGUUUUUCAAGACUGGGGCUUAAUCAUGCUGUUGUAACCUCUAUGUAAACUUAAUUUUCGUGAGAUGAGAUUAAGACAGAAAUAAGACAGACAUAAAAUCUUUACAUUUAAAGAAGAUACAAAGUCAUUUUAUUUCUUGAGUAAUUCUAACCACAAAGAACCUAAUUUCAAGAAUCAUCUGAAUCAUGAAUGCUGAUGGAUAAUUCAGAGUUAUUCCUGUUUCUUCAGGCUUAAAACUAAAGAUCAGGAUUUCUACCUCAAAAAUUGUUUGGGUAAAGUGUUUGUAUCAUUGAUUACGGCAAUAAAAUGAAAAAAAAAAAAAAGAAAAGAAAAAUACUAAAAGAAGGGACUAUUUAGCUAAAAAUUGUCAAAUACAAAAACCUUGUCAUUCUAGACAAAACCUUGUCAUUUCUAGAUAGUACACUGUUAUUUGUAGCUGGUUUGGCAAUUUCAGAUGGGUUUGAUCUAGACUCCAAACAAAAUUAUAAAAAUGUUGGUAACUAGAAGGAAGAGUGAAAACAGAGUUAGGCCUCACUUUUUAGAAAAUGUGAUUAUUUAUGUUGUGUUGGUUUUGGCACAGUGCUGGAAACCUGAUGUUUGAGGGAUAUUUCUGGAAUUGAAUAAUGGGAGAGAAACGUCUAGUUUGUAUGUAUUAUAUAGCUUGUAUUUGCCAGAAGUGGUGUGUUUGUGGGAUAGUUAUAGAUGGGAACUCAGCUUCACAAAGAUGAACUGGGUCUGUGGGGACCAUACAUGCCUGGAGCAAGGUUGCAAUGAGGGCUACCCUAGACAGCAGAAAAUACACGGUUGGAAGGUUAGUGGGAUAAGGCUUAGACUUCACACGUUUAUUUUGCACUGUACUUUAAAAAGGCAUUCUUUUGUGUGUGUGAGAGCAGGAAGCCACUUCUUCAUUACAAGGUAUUUGCUGUCAGUAAAGAUCUAAAUCGCCUGAUGGGUAGAGGAACCUGUAGGGUGGUAAAUGGUACAUGGUUUUCUGCCAUUCUAAUAAAAUAUUCCCUUUUUGCCUGUUAACAGAGAAGAGCAACCCAUAACCUUCAAGACCUUUUCUAAAAUAUACUCCUACGUUAGCUUUUCCAAAUAGGACAUCUUGUCAAAUUUAUUACGCUGUGUAAAAGAGAUACUAAAUAGAGUAAGAAAUAAACACAAAACAAUGGAGCAGUUUAUACUUGCCUGAUAAAGUACCCUAGCACUCUACUCAGUUGAGUUCAUGGCACUUCCAAUCUUAUUUUGCUUUCAGGAAAUGAGAAUAUGCCAAUGAGAUGCAUCUACAUCUGCACAGCUAGCAACUGUGUAGUGCUUGGCUUUUAGUAGACGCAUUCAGAAGAGAGAGCACAUCCUUUUCUUUUACUGUAGUUUCAUAAGAAAACCGGAAAACAUUGCAAACAGCAUACCAGGUCAAGUGCAAAAGGUGUAAGUCCUAAGAUGCUCGGGUCAUAGGCCAACAAGCUUAUAUUGACAUUUACAGUUAGGCUGUUUAGUAAAAUUAAAGCCAGAGCUCCCAGUCAUUUGAGUAGUGUUAUUGGAUUACUGAGUAAAAGAUGCAUACAGUUCUUAUGAAAGGCCACAUCGUGUCUUGCUGCAUUUUGUCAGGUUAUAUCACCAGAGAAAUAACCUCUUUUCAGGCUCCUCUAAUGGCUACUCAGCCUGUCCGCCAGCAAUGUACUGAUCAUUGAAGAAAAAGGCAUUUGUUAAGCAGCUUUGACUGCCUUCCUGCAGGCUACCUACCCAGGAAUAAUACUCAAACCAGUUAAUAUAAUGAAGUUCAGUACCAUCUGAAGUAAUUCAGGUAGAAAUGAAGGAACUUAUUCUGUGAAAGAAUAGACAGCUCCCACUUUGUCACAGCAAGUGUGUGUAACAACCUUAAAUUACCAGGGUUCAAUGCAGCAAAAACAUCAGCUUCAAGAUAAUGGCACAAACAGGCAGGCCAAGGGGACGUUAUAAAACCAGUACCAGUAGUAUAUCCAGAAAGUCUGAAAUGGUCUGUCUGGAUUUAUGCAUUGUAUGAUACCAUAUGCUAUUGUUGCUCUUAAGGUUUUCUGUCAGUUUGAGUUGGUGUUGGAUGCAAUUAUGGUUCCCCCAUUGUUUAAAGAGAAAAGACUGGGUCUCUUCCUCACUAUGUUACAUAAGAAUGCCUGUUUGAGUGUGAAAGCAAACUCUAGGACAUGUCUGUCUCUAAGGACAUUCAGCAGUAAGCAAUCUGGGGCCAUAGCUAGGUAGGAAAGAAACU